GGAGCUACAGCCCCCGAGCCGCGCGCACAAAGAGCACAUAUCUGCUUGAUGAUGCUGCGCGCGGCUGGUCACCCAUCUUUGCAGAAACAUCACAACAGGAUGAUCCCAGUGUCAUUAAAAAAAGAAAACUUUUUUUUUGGAAUGUUGGAACUUUUCAACUUCUGUGGAGAUUUUGCGCGAAAUUUACGCACCACCUGCGCGCGGGCACACCUGCUUCAACAGGAGCUGCAGUUCAGGGGUAGAAUAAAAGCCUUUUACUAAUCUGCAUCUCCUACAUCUGAGGACAGCUUCCGCGCUCUUCAGAAACAGAUGAUCUGAAGGAAAACCGCGCGCGUCACUGUCUGCUUCUGAAGACGCUUCCUCCUCCGGUGUCAGCGUGAAAAACACCAUGCAGCCUCCAGAAAGAAAACCUGACACUGUCGAUUAAAAUAUCCACUGUCCAGGGAUGAAAUGCCCCCCCCCCCCCGGUCUUUCUUUCUGUGUUCUCAGUGCAUCCUCUGCAAUCUUUUGACCCACCCACCCCGGUUCGGUGCUGCAGGAACCGGCUCUCUGUGCUCCUCUGUCAGGCCCAGAAGGCUCCAGUCCUGCCGCUCAGCUGUGGAGGAAACCUCCAUAAACGGUCACGGAAGCCAUGCUGGGCCUGCUAUGAAUUCUCCUCAUGAUUGUUUGUGUCAUAUUGUGUAGAUGUUUCAAUAGACAUGGCUUCCCUCCUCU